AGAGCUGGGCUAGGGCGAGAGGGAGGUUGCCUGCUCUCUGCCAGUCUGUACCCCACCGUCCCACCCCCACGCCUCCCACACGGAGUUCCCAAUUUCUCAGCCAGGUUUCAGAAGAGACAAAUCCCCUUUGCGCCCUGUGGCGCCGGUUUGCAACAGUCUCGGGCUGCCGGGUUUGGGAGAAAUCAAAGGUGCUAGACGGGAGAAUAUGGGAGGGGCAGGGGGUACCCGAACCGCGGGACCGGACUUCCUAAAAGGGGCAAGUGGAGAGCUUGUGGACCGAGCCGGGGGAGUCAGCAGAGACCCUUGUGAAAAAAACCGUUAACUCUUUCCUCCCCGGACAAACCGGACGUUUAAUUCCUUUCCAGGUCCUCUUUCCCCUUUUAUUAUUGGAAAUGCGGUCAUGCACAAAAAAUGCAUCGAUUCUGAUCAAAGAAGAGGAGAGGAGUAUUACUUCCGUGCCUUUUUUUGGGGGGGGGGGAGUCUUGAGCUAAUUAAAAUUUGGCUGCCUUCCAGGCAUUAAUUUCCUAGUUCACUGACUCACAAUUUUUUCUGAAUACUAGUGAAAGUGCACUGUAUGUAACCCGCAAACGUGUAUUCACAUUUUAUUUACGCUUCGACUUAGCUAGUUGCCCAGCCCCACACAUGAUUUGUUUGCUCCCUGAAAUGAUCUAUAUUUAAUAUAUAAUGUAUAUUCCCUCGGGAUUUUUUAUUUUGUGUUAUUCCACGGCAUGAAAAACAAAAAACAUUCUUCUCAUCCUUGGUCCCUCACCCAAAGGCAUUUUAAGUAAACUUUUCUCUCCCUCCACCACCUCCAAAAGAGAAAACAAUUCGGGGGAAAGGGGUGCGUGUAUAGCAUGUACGCUGUUCAAGAUGGGUUAUUACCCGUUGAGUUUGCAGCUCAGCGUUCAAGUGUUAAGUGAAUAUAGUAGCUUCCAAAUCCGAUGCACUGCACAAUUCAGCUUUAAGGAUUGCAAAUUACUCCUGCCUCCAGGCCUUUGCCGCAAACGCGGGGAGCAACCAAUCGCUAUGCUGGAUUUUGCUGCAAAGCGUCUUUCCCUCCGCCCCCUCUCUGGGCAGCACCCGCGUUCAGGUUUGCGAAAGUAAAGUUGGCUGCAGAAGGUCCGAAGAAAGAGGAGUUACUGGAGGAAAAAGUGGUUCAGAGGUGACUAUUCAACCGCAUAAGAGAUGGUGAAAAUUAACCUAUCACCACUGCUAAUGAACAUCACCCUAUGGAGAACCGAGACACAAAAGGGAAGAUUCAGAAUGUGUGACUUGUAUAAAAUAAAACCAGUUUCCCCCGACCCCAACACCUUCUUUGAACAUCUCUUUCUCCACCUCUCAAAAAAUUUCCUACUGAGUUGGUCCUCUAGUGAAAAGAGCAGUUAAUAAGAUGGAAAGCAACUGGACGUGGUGAAGAAAAAGCCAGCGAACUUAGGGGUGAGACUGAAGCCCCUCAGGGUGGCUGAGCUGCUAUUUGAAAAAUUCCUUCAAGUCACGUGCGGCCUGUCAAGAGAUGAGGUGAAGGAAGAGAAUGAUAAAUAUCUAUCUCCAGUGGAAGGAUCAUUUUGAAAGAAGGGCUGUUAGAUUAAAAACCAAGCUAGCCAGGGAACGUUAAAGGAAGAGAAGUUCUCACAAGCAUUUUAAUGCCAAGCAUGUGUUCCAACGAGAGGAACACAGGAAAGCUCUUCAGCAGAUGAGAAAAUGAAAUUCGGCAUCACUAAUUCAUAGGAAUGAUAACAAAAACGGCAGUGAAGAAAAUCUGUGCAUUUUAAAAAAUGCAUGUUUUUUGCUUAGUGUUGUCCCUUCCCCUCCUGGCUUUUAGUAUACUGCAUUCAUUAAAGUAGCUGAGAAGAAAAAUAGUAGAUGCUGUUAACGUCAGGCCUGAGAGCUUCCAUAUCCUGUGUUGCGUUGAGUUUUGGGUUUGUUUCCUUAUUCACUGUCUUCUAGAUCUCAGACCCUAGCAGAAGGUCUCAGAAUGGACCUAGUAAACUUUGGUCAUACCUCCAGCUUGGCCUUCUUUUAUUUUUUUGUUCUUUGCUGCAACCCUGCCUUACUUUGUAGCUACUAGAGUGGACAAAUGGUUCCUUUGUUGAACCCCUUCAAAGGCUUGGUUUAUUGUUCUAUAAGUGCCAAGCUCAAGCCAGUCUCAAAAGUUUCCACACUUUGGCUCACUGGCCUGUCUCUGCUAUGGUCCUUUUGGACAACAUAUGUCCCCACAAUGGGCCCUUGCGUGGUUGGACAUACAGGUCACUGCAAAGGAAACCCUUGGAGAGAAACUUUUGCUUUUUACAAUUUGAUCUUCAUAGAAAGUCAGUAGAAUAGGAAUCUAUUCUUUUAGGGAUCUGCAGAGAUCCCAAGCUAUGGCUUCUGACUUUCUUUUCAAAGGCAUACUUUCUGAGAGUAGCUCACCCUUGGUUGUUUUCACUUUUAUAUUGUUUGUUUCCUCUGUAACGUCUUCUACAUGGACUUGAUAUUAUAGAGGGUGCUUUCUUGAAGGUAUCUCAUGACCUCCAACCACCAAAGCCAAUGGUCUUGUUCUCAUUUUAUUUUUGGACUUUGCUGUUUGCUGUCAGGCUUUUGGAAAUGAUUAUUCUUUUGAUUUCCAUAAAUCAGUGGGUCUCAACCAGAGGCAAUUGGCAAUGUCUGGAGACAUUUUGGGUUGUCACUAAGGGAUGGGGCCUUACUACUUGGCGUUUUUAGUGGGUAGAGGCCAACGAUGCUGCUAAAUGUCCUACAUUGCACAGGACGGCUCCCACAACAGAGAGUGGGGCUCAAAAUGUCACCAGUGCUGAGGUUGAGAAUCCCUGGGUUCACUCCACAUUCUCCUGAUUAUAUUCCCACAUAUUCAACUUGUUCUUCUGUUUCCCUUAUUGGCUCACUUUCCUCUUUUACCCACUACCUAUGGCUGUUAGAAUCAUCUUGCAGUAGAUUCCUAAUAGCUCCUAGUCUCUGCCACUCCAUUUAACCUUGCACACUGAUUAAUUUUCCUCUUCAUUUAAAAUUCUUCAGUUGACCCCCAUGGUCCAAAAUGAGGUUCUCCAUUAUGAGCUUGGAAUUCCAAGCCCUCAUGCAUCUGGCCUCCUCCUUAUCUUACCCUAUUUCUUACCAACUCUGCACUUCAGAGAAACAGGUCUAUUUACAGCCACUCUGAGUGACACACAAGUUUCCACCUCAGCACUUUGGUUCAGGCAGUUCCCCAGACUUACUGUCUCUUCUCUUCUUGAUUUAUCUAAGAACCACCUUUCCUCCCAGCCCAAGUUCAAGCCCCAUUUUCUCUGUGGACUCUUCCUUUUCCCAUGAUCAUCUUACAGAAUCAUAAAAGCAUGGAGCCAGAAAAAGUUCUGGAAAACCUCUAAUUAAGCUGCUGAAACAUAAACCUUUGUUCUCAGGGUAGAAUCCAGGGUCUCCGGCUAAAAUAGACUAACUGUGGUUUUCUAGCUGUCAGAGAAAGGCCUCCUUUUUCUCUUCUUCAUGAGAUUAUAAAUGUCCCGGGGGUCUAGAGGAGGGGUAGCAUUAGAAGAGAUAUCUAAUGUAGAUGAUGGGUUGGUAGGUGCAGCAAACCACCAUGGCAUGUGUAUACCUAUGUAACAAACCUGCAUGUUCUGCACAUGUAUCCCAGAACUUAAAGUAUAAUUAAAAGAAAAGAGAGAGAAAUAAAUAAAUAAAUAAAAUAGAAUGUUAUCAGCCCCUGCCAAAAAAAAAAAAAAGUCCCAAGGCCAGGAAUCAAGUCUGGCCCAUAGUUAAUGUGAAUGAAUGUAUGCUGACUCUACACUGGGUAAGAGAAUGAAGUCAAUGGGCAGACUUUCUCAAUAACUUUUUGGCUACACAAGAAUCUAGAAUAUAAGGACGGGUUGCUGAAUCAGCUUGGUUGGAGGACUACUCUGUCAUGAUCACCUGAUAAAUCUGUCAAGUCACAUGACCUCUCUGAAUCUCACUUUUCUCAUCUGUAAAAUGGGAUUACUAUAAUUGUAGCACCUAUCUUAUUGAAGGUGUUACAGGAAUUAAGUGAGAUAAGGCAUUCAGCACAGAGCCUGCUGUCUGGCCCACACUCAGCAAAUGUUAGCAAUUGUUAAUGUGAGUUCCAGAUUUAGCAGAAAGUUAUGUAUUGAGCUGUUUUAAGUUAAAUGUAUCAAUAUUGCAUGGUGUUUCAUAGUGAGUUCCAUGAAAUUGAUGUCCUUUAUCACUUCAUCAAGUGUGAAAAAUUGUGGACUAAUACAAGCUUGUCAAGUUGAGGUUUAGAAUCACAAAGAGAUUAUCUAAUGUUUGGAGACAAUUCCAAACCCACCCCCUUCCUGUCUCCAACUCUUGCACGACUUACUAUUCCAAGUGUAUGCUGUUUUGCAGAUCACUCUAUUCAGAAAAAGCAAAAUUCUGGAAGUUCAGGAAGGCAGAAUUAGGCAUUGUUCCUAUUUAAUACGAAUCAACGCUUUAUGUUAGGAUUUCCCGCCUUUCACUGAAUUCAUAUGAUGCCCCGGGGCUAAUCCCUGGGGUGUGGUCCUGGAAACCCAGGGCACCUUUAUUGCUGGCUAGACAAGGCUGCUACUGAAAUCUACAGCUUGCUUUUUUUUUUGUCUUGGUGAGUGGAUCUGGGCAUUGGAAAAACUGUUUUCCUUCAAAGCAUAAAGCGUAAAUCAACAACCAGGUUUAGAAACUCUUUCUAACUUCUGAUCCACAUUUUCCGCUAACACAUCAAGGGUUGCCAACUCAGAUGCUUACAGAGGUUUGGCAGGAAAUGUAAACGAAGAAUACAAUAGGGAGUGGUGGAGACUGGUAAACUGGAGAGCAUUUGCCUGUGUAGGUCUGGUGGCUCCCAUUUGGCACCUGCUCUGGUGGUUACCCUGAAAUAUGGGCCCAUGGGUGGAAAUGCUUCCAGUUUUUCAGGGAAGGUGGAAAUCCAGGUUUUAAAAUGUUAACAACUUAUUGUAAGAAUUAUAUGGAGAUUUCAAGCCAGCAGCAGUGUGUUGGGAAAAAAAAUGAUAUGGAGAAGCAAAGCAUGUCUAUGGGCAGAGGUGGCCCUCAGGCUGCCAGCCUGCCAUCUCUGCUCAUAUGUCUUAGUAAUCCAACUCAAGCAUCUUCCUGUAGGAGCUUUUCAUGAUCCUUUCCCCUUCCCUUGAGAGUUUAAACCAUCCCCUCAUUCUUCUGUCUUAGAAAAUACAAGUUUGGCCAGGCGUGGUGGCUCGUACCUGUAAUCCCAGCAUUUCGGGAGGCCAAGGCCGGCAGAUCACUUGAGCCCAGGAGUUUGAGACCAGCCUGAGCAACACAGUAAGACCCUGUCUCUACAAAAAAAUUAAAAAAAAAAAAUUAGCUGGGUGCAGUGCCUCAUGGCUGUAAUCCUAUCUACUUGGAAAACUGAGGUGGAGGAGGAAGAUUGCUUGAGCCGUGGCUGUUGAGGCUGCAGUGAGCCAAGAUUGUGUCACUGUGCUCCAGUCUGGAUGACAGAGUGAGAUCCUGUCUCAAAACAAACAAACAUUCAAGUUUUGGCCAGAGAUGCAGCGGCUCAUGCCUGUAAUCCCAUCACUUUGGGAGGCUGAGGUGAGCAGAUCACCCGAGGUCAGAAUUUCGAGACCAGUCUGGCCAAGAUGGUGAAACCCUGUCUCUACUAAAAAUGACAAAAAUUAGCGGGGCAUGGUGGCGCAUGCCUGUGAUCCCAGCUACUCGAGAGGCUGAGGCAGGAGAAUUGCUUGAACCUGGGUGGUGGAGGUUGCCGUGAGCCCAGAUGGUGCCACAGCACUCCAGCCUGGGUGACAGAGCAAGACUCUUGUCUCAAAAAAAAAAAAAAAAAAAAAAUCAACUUUAUAGUUUUUGUGCUUUUUAAUGUCUGAUUCCUUGAGGAGAAGCUUCUGGGGUCAGUAUGGAUUGUGUUUUACUCGCGUUCUCACCCAUCAAGCCUCAAGGUGCCAUUCACAGAGUAGGUGGUCUCCAGAGCCCAGCACAAUGCCUGGCACGUGGUAGGCACUCUGUAAGUGCUUAGUGAAGGAAUGCUAUUAGAGAGAGCUUCUGAGCUGAGGGCACACCUAGCCUAACCCAGUUUUAAUCGUAUAUAGAGAGAAGGGUUGAGAACUCUUCCUUGCCCUUGCUUCGGUUCCAUCAAUGGGUAGGGCUCUGUUCAGGUGUCCUUGUUGAUGAGCUGGGCCCCAACAUCGUUGGAGCAAGGGUGACGAGGAUGGGGGUCAUUCCAGAUGAAUUGCCCUCAUUGACCGAAAAGCAAAUGCAACGAAAUAAAAACCAAACCACACUUCAACAACAGUGUGGAACAGCACCCCCUGCAGGCGCUUUCCUCGCAACUUUAUAAUCCCUCUGGAGGAAAAUCCUAUCUGAAUUGAAGAAGGAAGGGAAGAAUGGGAAGAUGGUAACAGGAACUGGGCUAGGGAGAAGCUCAUACUGUCAGAGUUUUAAAAUGGCAAAUGAUGACCCCUUAGUGGAUCAUGAAAUCAAUUUAACAAUGUUCACUAUUUGGAUAAUGAAUACAUUUAAUGACCAGACUUGACGACUAUGCAAUGUAUACAUGAAAGAAAUCCUCACUUGAGCCCCCUGCAUGUAUAAAAAUUUAAAAAUAGUAAAUAAGAAAUGAAUUUAAUGAAUCAUGAUGAGCAAUUUCACAAAAUGGGCUGGCACAGAAAAUAUCAAAGUGUGUUGCAGAUGAAGUAUUCUUUUCUCUCUCUCUCUCUCUCUGUGUGUGUGUGUGUGUGUGUGUCUGCACUUGGACGAUACGGGAAAUGUAUCUCAGUGAGUUAAAAAGGUUAGAAAGCCCCACUGCAUUGCCUCCUUAAAUCUCCAUAGUAAUCCUAGGAGGUGUAGGUUAAAAUUCCAUUUAACAGAUGGGGAAAAUUGAGGUGUUGCAGGGACUUGCUUAAACUCACACGGUGAAUAGUAGUCAUGAGAUUCAGCACCAGAAACCUUUUGAUACCAUAACCUGGGCCGCCUCUGCCCUGUCACUGCCCCAGUCGAGCCAGGUGCCCGGCGCUUUCUAUUUCUCUGCUGCUGGUGACCAGAGCAAAUUUCCUUAGGGAAAUAAGGAAGGAAGGAGAGGUUACCUCUUACUUUUGCCACUUUCCUGGGGCAUAAUGCCAAGGGGUAAAAGGCACCAUGAGUAUCGAGACAGUGGAUACAGAAACAAAUCCUUGUCCUCCAAGGGGCUUGGUAAAACAUAUAUUCUUUCUCUUUCUUCUGGAAAGUUUCGUAAGACAAGUUAGUAAUAUCUGUGCUUGUAAAGUAGACUUUGGUUUUGGGGAGAAAAUGAGGGCAGAGCGGCUGGGCACGGUGGCUCACGCCUGCAAUCACAGCACUUUGGGAGGCCGAGGCGGGUGGAUCACCUGAGGUAGGGAAUUCGAGACCAGCCUGACCAACAUGGAGAAACCCCGUCUCUAC
rnacentral:lncRNA from 1 species